GAUGAACGCUGGCGGCGUGCCUAAUACAUGCAAGUCGAGCGAAUGGAUUAAGAGCUUGCUCUUAUGAAGUUAGCGGCGGACGGGUGAGUAACACGUGGGUAACCUGCCCAUAAGACUGGGAUAACUCCGGGAAACCGGGGCUAAUACCGGAUAACAUUUUGAACCGCAUGGUUCGAAAUUGAAAGACUGCUUCGGCUGUCACUUAUGGAUGGACCCGCGUCGCAUUAGCUAGUUGGUGAGGUAACGGCUCACCAAGGCAACGAUGCGUAGCCGACCUGGGAGGGUGAUCGGCCACACUGGGACUGAGACACGGCCCAGACUCCUACGGGAGGCAGCAGUAGGGAAUCUUCCGCAAUGGACGAAAGUCUGACGGAGCAACGCCGCGUGAGUGAUGAAGGCUUUCGGGUCGUAAAACUCUGUUGUUAGGGAAGAACAAGUGCUAGUUGAAUAAGCUGGCACCUUGACGGUACCUAACCAGAAAGCCACGGCUAACUACGUGCCAGCCGCCGCCGUAA
rnacentral:rRNA from 1 species